rnacentral:SRP_RNA from 1 species
GCUGGGUGUGGUGGCUCACACCUGUAAUCCCAGCACUUUGGGAGGCUGAGGUGUGAGGAUUGCUUGAGGCCAGGAGGUUGAGGUCGCAGUGAGCCAUGAUUACGUCACUGCACUUCAGCCUGGGCGACAGAGCAAGACCUUGUCUCAA